CCUACGGGUGGCAGCAGUGAGGAAUAUUGGUCAAUGGGCGCGAGCCUGAACCAGCCAAGUCGCGUGAGGGAAGACGGUCCUAUGGAUUGUAAACCUCUUUUGUCGGGGAGCAAAAGACGCCACGCGUGGCGUUCCGAGAGUACCCGAAGAAAAAGCAUCGGCUAACUCCGUGCCAGCAGCCGCGGUAAUACGGAGGAUGCGAGCGUUAUCCGGAUUUAUUGGGUUUAAAGGGUGCGCAGGCGGAAGAUCAAGUCAGCGGUAAAAUUGAGAGGCUCAACCUCUUCGAGCCGUUGAAACUGGUUUUCUUGAGUGAGUGAGAAGUAUGCGGAAUGUGUAGUGUAGCGGUGAAAUGCAUAGAUAUUACACAGAACACCGAUUGCGAAGGCAGCUUGCUAGGCCGGAUCUGACACUGAUGCACGAAAGCGUGGGGAUCGAACAGGAUUAGAUACCCUAGUAGUC
rnacentral:rRNA from 1 species